rnacentral:rRNA from 1 species
GAACGGCAGCACAGCAGAGCUUGCUCUGUGGGUGGCGAGUGGCGGACGGGUGAGUAAUGCAUCGGGACCUACCCAGACGUGGGGGAUAACGUAGGGAAACUUACGCUAAUACCGCAUACGUCCUAAGGGAGAAAGCGGGGGAUCGCAAGACCUCGCGCGGUUGGAUGGACUCGAUGUGCGAUUAGCUAGUUGGUAAGGUAAUGGCUUACCAAGGCGACGAUCGCUAGCUGGUCUGAGAGGAUGAUCAGCCACACUGGGACUGAGACACGGCCCAGACUCCUACGGGAGGCAGCAGUGGGGAAUAUUGGACAAUGGGCGCAAGCCUGAUCCAGCAAUACCGCGUGUGUGAAGAAGGCCCUCGGGUUGUAAAGCACUUUUAUCAGGAACGAAAUCUGCAGGGCUAAUACCCGUGCAGUCUGACGGUACCUGAGGAAUAAGCACCGGCUAACUCCGUG